UACAGAGGUCCCAAGCGUUGUUCGGAUUUACUGGGCGUAAAGGGUGCGUAGGCGGUCGGAUAAGUCUGAUGUGAAAUCUUCGAGCUUAACUCGGAAAUGGCAUUGGAUACUAUUCGGCUAGAGAGUUGGAGGGGGGACUGGAAUACUUGGUGUAGCAGUGAAAUGCGUAGAUAUCAAGUGGAACACCAGUGGCGAAGGCGAGUCCCUGGACAACUUCUGACGCUGAGGCACGAAAGCGUGGGGAGCGAACAGG
rnacentral:rRNA from 1 species